UCAGCCUCUCCUCUCUCUCCCUCCUCUGCAACCCCCUGUCCACACAUCACCGCCACCCACUGUCUCAGCGCGUGCCUCCUCCCACACCUCACCGACGGCUCCCCCUCCCCUCCUCUAACCCCGUAGCUCAGGCAACUGCCAGAUCCACUGCAUCCCCCACCCCAUCCAUACCUCUCGCUACCCAUAUCUCUCUCGCGCGACAACUCGCGUCGUGACCACGCCGGCCGAUUCCGGCGACGUCCGCCGCCACGGAGCGCACUCACGAGCUAUUCUUCGGCACCUCCAUCCUCUAGUCCGGCUGGAUCCGGCGCUUCCGUUGUCCAGCGCUCGCGUGCGACUCCUAGCCAUGGCUAGGGUUUCGGCUGCCGAGUCAUGUCCAACGCCGGCGCGUCUCCGGCGGCUCCUCUCCGUCCACACGGCGCCUCCUCGCGCCCUCUCCGCCUUCUGGAUGGCGUCCCCUAGCAUAGUAUGCCCGCGCACGUUGGGCCAGAUGAGGUGACCCAGACCUCCUCUGCCGCAUCUCUGGCGCGACACUUGCAUCCUAUGGCGACCUCCUCUGCCGCGCGACGGUGGCGGCCGACCUGCGCUGCGAUUGCUCCGGCGAUGGAUGACUGAUGGUGGCCUUCUCCUCACACCACACGACCAGCGGCCAAAGGAGCCUCUCCAAGGAUGGGGGUGGGGAUCACUCGUGGCUGCUUCCUCCUGCCAUCCUCUUUGUGCAAGUGAGCUCUCUCUCUCUCUACCCUCCAGAUCCAAGCUGGAUUCUGCCUGCAACUCCACAGCCCCAUGAACUGCAUGCAUUAACCUAAUUCAAAUAAAACUCCAACGUAAAUCCAUCCCUUUUGGAUGUUAAGUGCAUUGUAUGAGUGAAAAUGCAGCACCUUUUUUUGUUUGUUCACUCAUUCUUGCUUCUAAACCUAUUCGUGGUGUAGCACAACCAACAGAUAUCACUAGUUGGAGCAGUUCCACAAAUAUGCCUCACUGUACUAAUGUACAUCAGCAGUACAAUCAGGAUAGUUUGUAGUUCCACAAGAAAUUUCAUUUUUCUUUUCAUGUGCUUUUGCUCAUGCCAUAUACUCAUCAGUUUAUGAUAUCUCCGCAGCAGAAGCACCAACUCGAUGCCAGCGGAGGAGGAGGUGCCUCCCUCGUUCUUUUGCGUUUCUAAUUGAAUCUUUUAAGUUUUGUAUUAAUAUGGUUGCAAACAAUGCUGAUGCAAGAAGCCAAGAAGCUAGACUGGUGCAUUUUAUGCAAAGACUGGAGUUUUUACUUUGCGUUUUACUUCCUAACAUGGAUGAGAGUAUAUCUUCAUCCUGCUGUACUCAUUGAUUCUCUAGCAUGCCAAUCUUUGUCUGAUUGCUUCUGCUUCGUUCAAAUAGGUGAAACAAAGUGAAACCCUUGAAAUGAACUUAUUACAGCCUUGAUUUAUUAUUCAUUUAUUGCCUGACUUCUUAAUAUUGUCCAAAUAAUCCUUCCAUUUUCCCUUGAAUUAUUUGGGUUUGCAAGCAACAGUUUAAUUGAUGCUUAGUUUUUUCGCUUAUUACAACAGAGGUGAUGGAUUUUCUACUACUGUAUUUCCGAAAAUACGCAUACACAGUAUUGCAAUCUGAACGAGCGAUGGAAUUGAUGAUUGCAUGUUUUUCUUUAAGAUUACUAAUAGAUGGUAUAUUAUUUAUGCUUUAGAUUUAAGAGUGUUUGAUCUGCUAUAUAGUGCAUUUGUUCAGUCUCAAAAUAUCAGUGUGGUUAAUCCAGAUGUGAGUGUGGUUAAUCCAGAUGUGAAGGUUAUGGUCUGUAGCAUCAGAAUAUAUAAAAUUUAACCAUUAGGUUCAUCUUGCUUAACUGAAGUAUUAUGAUGCUCACAAAUAUUUGUUCUUUGAAAAGAAGUUUACUGUUAGCAUAAUAGAUCAAUAAGUGGUUCAUUUAAUUGGCUAAAAUGAUCUUUUCUUCAAGUUGUUUUAUUUUACAUGACAUUUAAAAAGCAUGUUUAUUGACAGAAUUACCUUUAAUUGAUGAAGAAAGUAUGCCUCCAGUAUUACUAUUUUCAUGUUUUGUUAACUAUGGACUACAUUGUAUUGUAUGGGAGCUGGCUGUUAUAACUUAUUAUAAUUUUGUAUUUGUUUUCGAUUCUAUGCAGGUUUCGAAGUUUAUCCUUGUUACUGGAGAUUGAAUAUUUUUUAGCAGGAAUUACUUGGGUCCGAAUAGCUGCCUGGAACUGGUGGUGUAGUGUUGGAGAUUAAAAUUAGCUACCAGUGGAUUUUCAAUGAAUUCAUGUUACUCGACUUCUUACAAAAAAAUGCUUAUAGCUCUUUCUAGAUAUACUUGUGAUGUUUGAUAUUCAGGUUUGCUUUUUGAAGCCAUACUAGAUUGUUGGAAAUCUGUAUUGCCUUGUGAACAAAUGCUAUUUUUGGAAAUCUAUAUUGUCUUGUGUACAAA